rnacentral:rRNA from 1 species
UACGUAGGGUGCGAGCGUUAAUCGGAAUUACUGGGCGUAAAGCGUGCGCAGGCGGUUUUGUAAGCCAGAUGUGAAAUCCCCGGGCUUAACCUGGGAACUGCAUUUGUGACUGCAUAGCUAGAGUACGGGUAGGAGGGGGGAUGGAAUUCCGCGUGUAGCAGUGAAAUGCGUAGAUAUGCGGAGGAACACCGAUGGCGAAGGCAAUCCCCUGGACCUGUACUGACGCUCAUGCACGAAAGCGUGGGGAGCAACAGG